rnacentral:tRNA from 1 species
UAGCCCCAAGAGGUUAAGGCGAUGGACUGCUAAUCCAUUGUGCUCUGAAUGCAUGGGUUCGUAUCCCAU